GGGCCAUGGCGAAGGCGAUCCCUUCCAGAAUGGCCCGGUGCAGGUGCUCCAUGCCGUGCCCGGCGCCGAGGCCGAAGAACU
rnacentral:sRNA from 1 species